GCUAGGUGCAGUGGUGCAUGCCUGUAGUACCAGGUACUCGGGAGGCUGGGGUGGUAGGAUCGCUUGAGCCCAGGAGUUCUGGGUUGUAAUGCAUUAUGCCGAUUGGGUGACUGCACAAAGUUCGGCAUCAAUAUGGUGACCCCCCCAGGAGCAGGAGACCACCAGGUUGCCUAAGGAGGGGUGAACCAGCCCAGGCUGGAAACGGAGCAGGUCAAAACUCCCGUGCUGAUCAGUAGCGGGAUUGCACCUGUGAAUAGCCACCGCACUCCAGCCUGGGCAACAUAGUGAGACCCCAUCUCU
rnacentral:SRP_RNA from 1 species